AAUCUGUGACGAGGACAUAAUUUUAUCAUAUCUUUAUAUCUUUCCCAUGCAUCAAAAAGAAAUUCUCCUUCGACUUGUUUAAACGUAGUUAUAUGAUUUCACGGCAU